rnacentral:misc_RNA from 1 species
ACAAAGAGCUGGCAUCCUUAUCCUUCUUCCUCUACCAUCCACUUUCUUGUGCCUGUCUUUGUUGGAGCUUCUCUUGGGUGCUAGUUGCUUCUUGUUAUCAUCUUUAUUUGCGAUCAUAAUUUGGAAAUCCUUGAUCUCUGCAGGGUUCUUGUUGUUGCUAUUGCUGUUGCUGUUGUUGUUCUCUGCCAUGGUUGGUUUUGGGGGAGGAUUCAAGAAGGUGGGCAACUCUUGUUGAUGGUGAUUUGGGCCCUUUGGUUCCAUGGGAACAAAGGAAAAUAGGUGCCUCUUUGAUUGAAUAAUGUGACCUCAAAAAGCAUAUACUUUCUUGUCCUCUCAAUUGAUUUGUCAAUCUAUUUGGCUUAUUGUUCAAACAUUGGAAUCACAAUGUUUCAACUUA